GAAUCCCGUCUUUGACACGGACUGCCUGUACAUUAUGGUGUGCUCUCGAAGAGUCGAGUUGUUUGGGAAUGCAGCUCAAAAUGGGUGGUAAAUGUCAUCUAAAGCUAAAUAUUGGCGAGAGAUCGAUAGCGAACAAGUACCGUGAGGGAAAGAUGAAAAGAACUUUGGAAAGAGAGUUAAACAGUACGUGAAAUUGCUGAAAGGGAAACGCUUGAAGUCAGUCGCGUUGGCUAGAAAUCAACCUUGCUUUUGCUUUGUGUACUUUCUGGUUGACGGGUCAGCAUCAAUUUUGACCAUUGGAUAAAGUCUUUGGGAAUGUGGCAUCUUCGGAUGUGUUAUAGCCCAUUGUCGCAUACGGUGGUUGGGAUUGAGGAACUCAGCACGCCGCAAGGCCGGGUUUCGACCACGUUCGUGCUUAGGAUGCUGGCAUAAUGGCUUUAAUCGACCCGUCUUGAAACACGGACCAAGGAGUCUAACAUGCCUGCGAGUGUUUGGGUGGAAAAACCCAUGCGCGCAAUGAAAGUGAAAGUUGAGAUCCUCUUCAAAGGGGGGGCAUUGACGCCCGGACCAGACCUUUUGUGACGGAUCCGCGGUAGAGCAUGCAUGUUGGGACCCGAAAGAUGGUGAACUAUGCCUGAAUAGGGUGAAGCCAGAGGAAACUCUGGUGGAGGCUCGUAGCGAUUCUGACGUGCAAAUCGAUCGUCAAAUUUGGGUAUAGGGGCGAAAGACUAAUCGAACCAUCUAGUAGCUGGUUCCUGCC
rnacentral:rRNA from 1 species